rnacentral:rRNA from 1 species
AGUGAACGCUGGCGGUAGGCCUAACACAUGCAAGUCGAACGGCAGCACAGUAGGAGCUUGCUCUUACGGGUGGCGAGUGGCGGACGGGUGAGGAAUACAUCGGAAUCUACUUUUUCGUGGGGGAUAACGUAGGGAAACUUACGCUAAUACCGCAUACGACCUACGGGUGAAAGCAGGGGAUCUUCGGACCUUGCGCGAUUGAAUGAGCCGAUGUCGGAUUAGCUAGUUGGCGGGGCAAAGGCCCACCAAGGCGACGAUCCGUAGCUGGUCUGAGAGGAUGAUCAGCCACACUGGAACUGAGACACGGUCCAGACUCCUACGGGAGGCAGCAGUGGGGAAUAUUGGACAAUGGGCGCAAGCCUGAUCCAGCCAUACCGCGUGGGUGAAGAAGGCCUUCGGGUUGUAAAGCCCUUUUGUUGGGAAAGAAAAGCAGCAGGUUAAUACCCCGCUGUUCUGACGGUACCCAAAGAAUAAGCACCGGCUAACUUCGUG